rnacentral:lncRNA from 1 species
CCGUACUCUGUCUUCUUCUCUUUCUCCACCUCUCAAUAAAAUUCUCAAUCUCUCUCUCUCCUCUGGUAUAUUUCCAUUGCCCUUCAAACAUGCAACUGUAACCCCAAUUCUAAAGAAGCCCAAUCUUGACCCUAACUCCCCAUCCAACUAUCGUCCUAUCUCGCUACUGCCUUUUGCAUCCAAGAUCCUUGAAAAAAAUUGUGUAUGCGAGAUUGACAGACUUCCUCGAGUCCAACUCUCUGCUAGACCCGCUUCAGUCUGGUUUCCGCGCUAAGCACUCUGUGGAAACGGCACUGACCAAAGCAUCCAAUGAUCUACUCGCUGCAAAAUCUUGUGGUCACUACUCUAUCCUAAUUCUCCUUGACCUGUCUGCGGCUUUUGACACUGUUGAUCAUCA